rnacentral:rRNA from 1 species
GCCUAGCUUGCUAGGUGGAUUAGUGGCGCACGGGUGAGUAAUAUAUAGAUAACGUGCCUCUUAGUCUGGGAUAGCCAUUGGAAACGAUGAUUAAUACUAGAUACUCCUUCUAACUCUAAUGUUAGUCGGGAAAGUUUUUCGCUAAGAGAUCGGUCUAUAUCCCAUCAGCUAGUUGGUAGUGUAAGAGACUACCAAGGCAAUGACGGGUAGCGGGUUUGAGAGGAUGAUCCGCCACACUGGUACUGAGACACGGACCAGACUCCUACGGGAGGCAGCAGUGAGGAAUAUUGCACAAUGGAGGAAACUCUGAUGCAGCAACGCCGCGUGGAGGAUGACGCAUUUCGGUGUGUAAACUCCUUUUAUAUGUCAAGAAAAUGACGGUAGCAUAUGAAUAAGCACCGGCUAACUCCGUGCCAGCAGCCGCGGUAAUACGGAGGGUGCAAGCGUUAUUCGGAAUCACUGGGCGUAAAGGACGCGUAGGCGGGAUGCCAAGUCUGAUGUGAAA